CGGAAAGAUGGACGGAUGGACAAUGGUAUACCAUAAUACAUCCCGUCUUAGACGGACGUAUAAAAACUACCUUGACCAAAAACUUUAACCUAAAGCAUGACAGAUGGAAGAACUGACGAAGUGACUGACAAACAUAUGAACGCAACGAUGGAAAAACAUAAUGCCCUUAGGUGGGGUAGUUUGUUAUGAAGUAUACAGAUG
rnacentral:lncRNA from 1 species